rnacentral:tRNA from 1 species
GGGGAUGUGGUUCAGUGGUAGAGCUCUUGUCUUGUAUGCAUGAGGCCUUGGGUUCCAUCCCCAGCAUCAUGA